rnacentral:ribozyme from 1 species
UGCCCAGCAACUCCUAUCCCUAUCUUCUCGUGGUACCGGCCGGAAACUAUGAGCAACCUUAGGAAAGACCGGGUAACCAACCCCGGUGGGAACUUUGGUCGUAGGUUGACAGGGAAGG